rnacentral:lncRNA from 10 species
GUUGUUUGUUUAUUUUUGAGACAGGUUCUCACUCUGUCAUCCAAGCUAGAGUGCAGUGGGGUAAAACACGGCUCACUGCAGCCUCGAUCUCUUGGCUCAAGCUAUCCUCCUGCCUCAGCCUCCUGUUUAUCUGGGACCACAGCUGACUUAUAUAAGUUAUUAGUCUUCUAGAAGGAUCACAAGGAACCAGCAUCAAAGAAAUGGAAUCCAGCUAAUUCCCCCAAGAAACUGAAGUUUUCGGGACAUGACUUGUGAAAGGCAAACAUAAGCUGACAUCUUUUCACACUGAACAGCAAGAGCCAAAGUGUAUCCGAAAAGCCAUUGUCAAAACAAGGAGUGAGAACAGCUGGGGUCAAGACCUAAUGAAGGGCAUCACUCAGCCUCUUUGAGCCUCGGAUUCCUCAUUUGUAAAGUGGGCAUAAUAAUACCUCACAGGGUAGUUAUGAGGGCAAAUGAGAUAAUGGACACGAAGGCACCUGUACACUCCACGGUGCUAUCAGAAUAUUGACUAUUAGUGCUUUCAUCACGCGGCUCCAUCCAAACCCCUGCUUUCCCUCACUCCAGUAAGUGGUUGCCCUCCACCCACCCCCCAUCUUCUAAUAAUGUAGACUGGAAACCCAAGCAUCAUCUUUG